rnacentral:sRNA from 1 species
GUUAAUAUCAACAAAACAUAUACAACUCAUAGUUUAAAGUCAAAUAAAAUAAUAUCAUAUAUUUUAAAUCAUCUUUACAAUAAAAGUUUUUAAUUUAACUAAAAUAUAAGCCUACCUGCGGUAUACUGCAGAUUAAUCUCUAGAUUAUAGGGCUUAUUGGAUCUAAAGACGGGUCAUCAAAGAUUUUCUAAACUGAAGCAAAAUAUACUAAAAAUUCAAAUAUCUAUCUGUUACUAAAUUAUAAACAAAUAAGUCAAUUUAAUAUUUUAUAUAU